rnacentral:tRNA from 14 species
GACGGACUUCUCUGAAAAACAUUGGCGCGCGUGUAAACGAGGUGCUCUACCAACUGAGCUAUAGCCCU